GGGACCUGGACGGACAUAUGUAGCAGCUAGACUCGACCUCUCUGCUGGGAAAACGUCUUAGUUGUUUUAAGUGUAUUUAAAUUACUAGCACAAUCGUAGUGAUUGUGUUAAGGAUAUAACAACCUUAGAGUAGCUAUAAACUGAGGAAUGUGUUGUAUAGAUAAUUUAAGUUCAGUUAGGCCUAGUUUACAGCGUGCUACGAAAUUAGCUAGUGUUAACGUUAUUGUUUUCUAAGUCGGCUUCUGGGGGAGUUCUUAAUAAUAGGCUACAUCUAUUAAAUAAUGGUCUGCCGUGGAAAACCUUGAAUGCUAAGGCAAUAAUCGGAGCUCGUGAUAAGACCACACGAUCAGGUGAACCUCGUGGAGGCCUGGGGGUGCUUUUGAGCCUUCGUAAUAAAGUCUACAAUUGAAUUAGCUUGAGUCCCUCAUGCACAUCUUUAUCUUAAGUAUUUACUAUUUUACUGCUCUUGUCAUUUUUGUAUUAUCCUGUUUACAUUGUAGUGUAUGUUGUGUGUAGUGUCUUAAGCUGCUGGGACCUUUCAUUUCCCCUUUGGGAUCAAUAAAGUAUCUAU